GAUGAGGUGGCCGAGUGGUUAAGGCGAUGGACUGCUAAUCCAUUGUGCUCUGCUCACAUGGGUUCGAAUCCCAUCCUCGUCG
rfam:Danio rerio chromosome 4, GRCz11 reference primary assembly.